AGGGUUUGAUUAUGGCUCAGAAUGAACGCUGGCGGCAUGCCUAACACAUGCAAGUCGAACGAGAUCUUCGGAUCUAGUGGCGCACGGGUGAGUAACGCGUGGGAACCUACCUUUUAGUACGGGACAACGUUUGGAAACGAACGCUAAUACCGUAUACGCCCUCCGGGGGAAAGGUCAGCCGCUAAAAGAGGGGCCCGCGUCUGAUUAGCUUGUUGGUAAGGUAACGGCUUACCAAGGCUACGAUCAGUAGCUGGUCUGAGAGGAUGAUCAGCCACACUGGGACUGAGACACGGCCCAGACUCCUACGGGAGGCAGCAGUGGGGAAUAUUGGACGAUGGAGGCAACUCUGAUCCAGCAGCGCCGCGUGUGUGAUGAAGGCCUUAGGGUUGUAAAGCACUUUCAACGGUGAAGAUGAUGACGGUAGCCGUAGAAGAAGCCCCGGCUAACUUCGUGCCAGCCGCCGCGGUAAUAC
rnacentral:rRNA from 1 species